rnacentral:rRNA from 1 species
AUUGAACGCUAGCGGGAUGCUUUACACAUGCAAGUCGAACGAGUGGCGGACGGGUGAGUAAUAUAUCGGAACGUGCACAGUAGCGGGGGAUAACUACUCGAAAGAGUGGCUAAUACCGCAUAAUAUUGGAGCGGCCGACAACGGAUUAGCUAGUUGGUGGGGAAAAGGCUCACAAAGGCAACGAUCAGUAGCUGGUGUGAGAGGACGAGCAGCCAAGCUGGGACUGAGACACGUCCCAGGCGCCGACGGGAGGUAGCAGUGGGGAAUUGGGACAAUGGGGGAAACCCUGAUCCAGCCAUCCCGCGUGUAUGAGAAGGCCUUCGGGUUGUAAAGUACUUUUGGCAGAGAAGCGGUAUCUGCAGAAUAAGCACCGGCUAACUACGAGCCAGCAGCCGCGGUAAUAC